AGCACUUUUGAAACGCGUCAAAGCGUAACUUUAACUCCCAAAAUACCAUUAAUUUUUAUGAACCCCUAAUUUAUAAUGAAUGACUCCAUAUUUAUAUGGAAGACACCAUGCUAGGAUUAGUAACAAGAAUUUAUAAUUCUCCAAAAUGCAAAUAUAAACCAACAUGGAUAGACCAUUGGUAGUUACCGAACCUAAAUUCAAUGCAAUAACAUCCACAAGAAAACUCUGCAGUACUCACUCGUUAACCUAACACCAGCGCAUUACAGGAAAGAUUUAAAAAAAGAGAAGGAAUUCGGCAAAUGACGGCCCCGCCUGUUUACCAAAAACAUCGCCUCUUGACUUAUAAUAAGAGGUCCAGCCUGCCCAGUGAAUUUUAAACGGCCGCGGUAUCCUAACCGCGCGAAGGUAGCAUAAUCACUUGUUCUUUAAAUGGGGACUUGUAUCAACGGCAUCACGAGGGUUUUACUGUCUCCUCUUUUUGAUCAGUGAAAUUGAUCUUCCCGUGAAGAAGCGGGAAUAUUUUUAUAAGACGAGAAGACCCCAUGGAGCUUUAAACCAAAUAACAACUUAACCACUUAUCCCAUAAUAAAUUUAAGCCCUGUUAUAAGGUUUUUGGUUGGGGUGACCGCGGAGUAAAGCACAUCCUCCACGACGGAAAGAACAGAAUCUUUAUUUAAGAACUACACUUCUAGAAAUUAGUAUACUAACGUUUACUGACCCGACAAUCGAUCAACGGACCAAGUUACCCUGGGGAUAACAGCGCAAUCUACUUCAAGAGCUCAUAUCGACAAGUAGGCUUACGACCUCGAUGUUGGAUCAGGGUAUCCCGGUGGUGCAGCCGCUACCGAAGGUUCGUUUGUUCAACGAUUAAAACCCUACGUGA
rnacentral:rRNA from 1 species